rnacentral:rRNA from 1 species
GGCUACCGCUAUUGGAGUUCGAUUAAGCCAUGCGAGUCGAGAGUCCUCGGGACUCGGCGUACCGCUCAGCAACACGUGGGUAACCUGCCCUAUGCUGGGGAAUAACCUCGGGAAACUGAGAAUAAUGCCCCAUAGCCCACUACGCCUGGAACGGUGAGUGGGUCAAAGCCCCGGCGGCAUAGGAUGGGCCUGCGCCGUAUCAGGUUGUAGGGGGUGUAAAGUACCCUCUAGCCAUCAACGCGUACGGGUGUUGGGAGACAUUGCCCGGAGAUGGAUUCUGAGACACGAAUCCAGACCCUACGGGGUGCAGCAGGCGCGAAAACUUGGCAAUGCGAGAAAUCGUGACCAGGGAACUCCAAGUGCGUAGGGUAAGACCUACGCUUUUCUUGACUCUUCAAAGGUCUUGGAAUAAGGGGUGGGUAAGGACGGUGCCAGCCGCCGCGGUAAUACCGGCGCCUCAAGUGGUAGUCGCUUUUAUUGGGCCUAAAACGUCCGUAGCCGGUCUGGUGCAUUCGUGGGUAAAUCAACCCGCUCAACGGGUUGAAUUCUGCGAGCACGGCCAGACUUGGGACCGGGAGAGGUGUGGGGUACUCUCAGGGUAGGGGUAAAAUCCCGUCAUCCUGAGAGGACCACCUGUUGCGAAGGCGCCACACUAGAACGGAUCCGACGGUCAGGGACGAAACCUAGGGGCACGAACCGGGUUAGAUACCCGGGUAGUCCUAGGUGUAAACGCUGUGGACUUGAUGUUGGGGGCGCUCCGAGCGCUCUCAGUGUCGAAGCGAAGGUGAUAAGUCCACUGCCUGGGGAGUACGGUCGCAAGGCUGAAACUUAAAGGAAUUGGCGGGGGAGCACUGCAACCUGAGGAUUGUGCGGUUU